rnacentral:rRNA from 1 species
CUGCGAAUGGCUCAUUAUAUAAGUUAUCGUUUAUUUGAUAGUACCUUACUACUUGGAUAACCGUGGUAAUUCUAGAGCUAAUACAUGCUAAAAAUCCCGACUUCGGAAGGGAUGUAUUUAUUAGAUACAAAACCAAUGCCCCUCGGGGCUCUCUGGUGAUUCAUGAUAACUCGUCGAAUCGCACGGCCUUGCGCCGGCGAUGGUUCAUUCAAAUUUCUUCCCUAUCAACUUUCGAUGUUUGGGUAGUGGCCAAACAUGGUGGCAACGGGUAACGGAGGGUUAGGGCUCGACCCCGGAGAAGGAGCCUGAGAAACGGCUACUACAUCCAAGGAAGGCAGCAGGCGCGCAAAUUACCCAAUCCCGAUACGGGGAGGUAGUGACAAUAAAUACUGAUACAGGGCUCUUUUGGGUCUUGUAAUUGGAAUGAGUACAAUUUAAAUCCCUUAACGAGGAACAAUUGGAGGGCAAGUCUGGUGCCAGCAGCCGCGGUAAUUCCAGCUCCAAUAGCGUAUAUUAAAGUUGUUGUGGUUAAAAAGCUCGUAGUUGAAUCUUGGGCCUGGCUGGCCGGUCCGCCUCACCGCGUGUACUGGUCCGGCCGGGUCUUUCACUCUGCGGAACCACAUGCCCUUCAGUGGGUGUGGCGGGGAAGCAGGACUUUUACUUUGAAAAAAUUAGAGUGCUCUAAGCAGGCCAAUGCUCGAAUACAUUAGCAUGGAAUAAUAAAAUAGGACGCGCGGUUCUAUUUUGUUGGUUUCUAGGACCGCCGUAAUGAUGAAUAGGGACAGUCGGGGGCAUCAGUAUUCAGUUGUCAGAGGUGAAAUUCUUGGAUCUACUGAAGACUAACUACUGCGAAAGCAUUUGCCAAGGAUGUUUUCAUUAAUCAGGAACGAAAGUUAGGGGAUCGAAGACGAUCAGAUACCGUCGUAGUCUUAACCAUAAACUAUGCCGACUAGGGAUCGGACGAUGUUAUUUAGUUGACUCGUUCGGCACCUUACGAGAAAUCAAAGUGCUUGG